rnacentral:rRNA from 1 species
CGGGUGAGUAAUAUAUCGGAACGUACCCUGGAGUGGGGGAUAACGUAGCGAAAGUUACGCUAAUACCGCAUACGAUCUAAGGAUGAAAGCAGGGGACCGCAAGGCCUUGUGCUCCUGGAGCGGCCGAUAUCUGAUUAGCUAGUUGGUGGGGUAAAGGCCUACCAAGGCAUCGAUCAGUAGCUGGUCUGAGAGGACGACCAGCCACACUGGGACUGAGACACGGCCCAG